GACCUGGCUGGGUGGUCCGCUUAACGGCGUGUACUGCUUGGCUGGGCCUUACCUCUUGGUGAGCCAGUGUGCCCUUUAUUGGUGUGCAUUGGGGAACCAGGACUUUUACUUUGAAAAAAUUAGAGUGUUUAAAGCAGGCUUACGCUUGAAUACAUUAGCAUGGAAUAAUAGAAUAGGACU
rnacentral:rRNA from 1 species